rnacentral:rRNA from 1 species
AAAAAAGCUCUGGGGGCAAAGCGAGGCCCGUACCAAAACUGACACAGGUGGGUGUGGUGAAUAACCUCAGGCGCUCGAGAGAACGGUCGUGAAGGAACUAGGCAAUUUAACCCCGUACGUUCGCAAUAAGGGGGGCCUCGCCGCAAGGCAGGCCGCAGAGAAAAGGGUCUGGGAACUGUUUAUCAAAAACACAGCACUGUGCUAAGGCGCAAGCCGACGUAUACAGUGUGACGCUUGCCCAAUGCUGGAAUGUCAUGGAAGAGGGUCAACGCAAGUGAAGCUCUCGACCUAAGCACCAGUCAAUGGCGGCCGUAACUAUGACGGUCCUAAGGUAGCGAAGUUCCUUGUCGGGUAAGUUCCGACGCGCAUGAAUAGCGUAAUCACUGGACUCCUGUCUCCACGACCGACUCGGUGAAAUAGUAGUGGCGGUGGAGAUGCCGCCUACCCGCAGCAAGACGGAAAGACCCCGUGGACCUUCACUGCAGGCUCGUAUUGGCCACGAGCAUACGCUGCGUAGCAUAGGUGGGAGACUUUGAAAUCCUUGUUCCGGCUUGGAUUGAGUCACAAUGUGAAAUACCACCCUGUGUACGUUUGUGGCCUAACCCCGAUUCCCGUUAUCCGGGCGGGGGACAGUUCGUGUCGGGCAGUUUGACUGGGGCGGUCUCCUCCAAAAAGGUAACGGAGGAGUGCAAAGGUCGGCUCAGCACGGAUGGAAACCGUGUCGAGAGUGCAAGAGCAUAAGCCGGCUUUACUGCGAGAGCGACGGCUCGAGCAGUCUCGAAAGAGGGCUCUAGUGAUCCUGCGAUCCCGUGUGGAAGGGUCGUAGCUCAACGGAUAAAAGGUACCCCGGGGAUAACAGGCUGAUCGCUCCCGAGCGUCCAUAGCGGCGGAGCGGUUUGGCACCUCGAUGUCGGCCCAUCACAUCCUGGGACUGAAGGCGGCCCCAAGGGUUCGGCUGUUCGCCGAUUAAAGUGGUACGCGAGCUGGGUUCAGACCGGCGUGAGCCAGGUCGGUCCCUAUCUGCUGUGGGCGACGCAAGUUUGAGAGGAGUCAACCUUAGUACGAGAGGACUGGGUUGGACGAAUCCCUGGUGAUCCAGUUGCACUGCUAAGUGCACCGCUGGGUAGCUACAUUCGGCAGGGAUAAACGCUGAAAGCAUCUAAGCGUGAAGCCCCCCUCAAGAUGAGACUUGCUAGUCGCAAGACGAAAGACCCCCGGGAGACCACCGGGUUGAUAGGCCGCAAGUGUACGGGCAGAAAUGCCUUCAGCUGAGCGGUACUAACGGUCGAAGGCCUGGUCAC